UUUGGGGGCAAAAAAAUGUCUGUCUUGGGUGUGUGAAAUGACAGGCUUGUCCAACAUAAGCCUGAGCAGCUGCAGAGAUCAGCCUGAAGGCCUGGAGGAGAUGGCCUGCCAUAUGGGAUUCCCAAAGCUCUUCCUGUACCUAUUCACUGCAGCAGCAACAAUGCACAAAAUGCUGAUGGGAAGAGGCAGUCCAAGGGACGAGAAGAAGUGAGGCACAAAGCAGCAGGAGUUACGAUUUUCAUGGGCUCCCGCAUCAGUAACAAGCUCCAAUCUUGUGUCGCACUCCCAGCCUCAGAGGUGCAAGGGGCACUAGCAAUCACUUCAGUUUGGGAAGUGGUAGUGGAGCUGGGGUUGUGGUGCUUUUCCUCCAUUUUUAAAGUCUCCAGGAUCGUGCAAGAGGUUCUGUAUAUAUCUUUCGCCCCUGAGAUUGUAUAAAGAUUCAGUCCUCCUGUGUGGAAGGUCAAAAGUACAUGAACACUGUCUUCUCUUAAGCAUACACUGGACACAAAACUAACAGAAUUGCAUGAAUGAUGGAUUGAGGAAAUUUCAGAAUUGCAUGCAUGAAGGGGUGAGAAAAAGUAUUU